UCAUCUGAACAGAAUGACCAAA
rnacentral:snRNA from 1 species